UCUGGUUGAUCCUGCCAGUAGUUAUAUGCUUGUCUCAAAGAUUAAGCCAUGCAUGUCUAAGUACACACGAAUUAAAAGUGAAACCGCAAAAGGCUCAUUAUAUCAGUUAUGGUUCCUUAGAUCGUUAACAGUUACUUGGAUAACUGUGGUAAUUCUAGAGCUAAUACAUGCAAUUAAAACAUGAACCUUAUGGGACAUGUGCUUUUAUUAGGCUAAAACCAAGCGAUCGCAAGAUCGUUAUAUUGGUUGAACUCUAGAUAACAUGCAGAUCGUAUGGUCUUGUACCGACGACAGAUCUUUCAAAUGUCUGCCCUAUCAACUUUUGAUGGUAGUAUCUAGGACUACCAUGGUUGCAACGGGUAACGGGGAAUCAGGGUUCGAUUCCGGAGAGGGAGCCUGAGAAACGGCUACCACAUCUAAGGAAGGCAGCAGGCGCGUAAAUUACCCACUCCCAGCUCGGGGAGGUAGUGACGAAAAAUAACAAUACAGGACUCAUAUCCGAGGCCCUGUAAUUGGAAUGAGUACACUUUAAAUCCUUUAACAAGGACCAAUUGGAGGGCAAGUCUGGUGCCAGCAGCCGCGGUAAUUCCAGCUCCAAUAGCGUAUAUUAAAGUUGUUGCGGUUAAAACGUUCGUAGUUGAACUUGUGCUUCAUACGGGUAGUACAACUUACAAUUGUGGUUAGUACUAUACCUUUAUGUAUGUAAGCGUAUUACCGGUGGAGUUCUUAUAUGUGAUUAAAUACUUGUAUUUUUUCAUAUGUUCCUCCUAUUUAAAAACCUGCAUUAGUGCUCUUAAACGAGUGUUAUUGUGGGCCGGUACUAUUACUUUGAACAAAUUAGAGUGCUUAAAGCAGGCUUCAAAUGCCUGAAUAUUCUGUGCAUGGGAUAAUGAAAUAAGACCUCUGUUCUGCUUUCAUUGGUUUUCAGAUCAAAGAGGUAAUGAUUAAUAGAAGCAGUUUGGGGCAUUAGUAUUACGACGCGAGAGGUGAAAUUCUUGGACCGUCGUAAGACUAACUUAAGCGAAAGCAUUUGCCAAAGAUGUUUUCAUUAAUCAAGAACGAAAGUUAGAGGUUCGAAGGCGAUCAGAUACCGCCCUAGUUCUAACCAUAAACGAUGCCAGCUAGCAAUUGGGUGUAGCUACUUUUAUGGCUCUCUCAGUCGCUUCCCGGGAAACCAAAGCUUUUGGGCUCCGGGGGAAGUAUGGUUGCAAAGCUGAAACUUAAAGGAAUUGACGGAAGGGCACUACCAGGAGUGGAGCCUGCGGCUUAAUUUGACUCAACACGGGAAAACUUACCAGGUCCGAACAUAAGUGUGUAAGACAGAUUGAUAGCUCUUUCUCGAAUCUAUGGGUGGUGGUGCAUGGCCGUUCUUAGUUCGUGGAGUGAUUUGUCUGGUUAAUUCCGAUAACGAACGAGACUCAAAUAUAUUAAAUAGAUAUCUUCAGGAUUAUGGUGCUGAAGCUUAUGUAGCCUUCAUUCAUGUUGGCAGUAAAAUGCUUAUUGUGUUUGAAUGUGUUUAUGUAAGUGGAGCCGUACCUGUUGGUUUGUCCCAUUAUAAGGACACUAGCUUCUUAAAUGGACAAAUUGCGUCUAGCAAUAAUGAGAUUGGAGCAAUAACAGGUCUGUGAUGCCCUUAGAUGUCCUGGGCUGCACGCGCGCUACAAUGAAAGUAUCAACGUGUAUUUCCUAGACCGAGAGGUCCGGGUAAACCGCUGAACCACUUUCAUGCUUGGGAUUGUGAACUGAAACUGUUCACAUGAACUUGGAAUUCCCAGUAAGUGUGAGUCAUUAACUCGCAUUGAUUACGUCCCUGCCCUUUGUACACACCGCCCGUCGCUACUACCGAUUGAAUUAUUUAGUGAGGUCUCCGGACGUGAUCACUGUGACGCCUUGCGUGUUACGGUUGUUUCGCAAAAGUUGACCGAACUUGAUUAUUUAGAGGAAGUAAAAGUCGUAACAAGGUUUCCGUAGGUGAACCUGCGGAAG
rnacentral:rRNA from 1 species